GGUUCGAAAGGAGAUGGCAUUCCUCCUCAAACCGCCGGCUUGGCCCGGCUAAUGAUGCCUACGGUCCC
rnacentral:ncRNA from 1 species